CCUACGGGUGGCUGCAGUGGGGAAUAUUGCACAAUGGGGGAAACCCUGAUGCAGCAACGCCGCGUGAGCGAUGAAGGCCUUCGGGUCGUAAAGCUCUGUCCUAAGGGAAGAAUACUGACGGUACCUUAGGAGGAAGCCCCGGCUAACUACGUGCCAGCAGCCGCGGUAAUACGUAGGGGGCUAGCGUUAUCCGGAAUUACUGGGCGUAAAGGGUGCGUAGGCGGCCCUUCAAGUCAGAGGUGAAAGGCUACGGCGCAACCGUAGUAGGCCUUUGAAACUGUAGGGCUUGAGUGCAGGAGAGGAGGGGAGAAUGCACAGUGUAGCGUAGAAAGGCGUAGAUAUUGGGAGGGACUACGGUUGAGGAGGGGGCUUUCUGGGCUGUCACUGACGCUGAGGCACGGAAGCAUGGGUAGCGAACCUGGGUAGAUCCGCGAGUGGUC
rnacentral:rRNA from 1 species